rnacentral:tRNA from 1 species
GAGUUUUUAUUAUAAUUUAAGUAUGAUUAAUUGUUGAUUAAUAGGUUUGUGAGCUCU